UUGACGAACGCUGGCGGCGUGCCUAAUACAUGCAAGUAGAACGCUGAAGAGAGGAGCUUGCUCUUCUUGGAUGAGUUGCGAACGGGUGAGUAACGCGUAGGUAACCUGCCUUGUAGCGGGGGAUAACUAUUGGAAACGAUAGCUAAUACCGCAUAACAAUGGAUGACACAUGUCAUUUAUUUGAAAGGGGCAAAUGCUCCACUACAAGAUGGACCUGCGUUGUAUUAGCUAGUAGGUGAGGUAACGGCUCACCUAGGCGACGAUACAUAGCCGACCUGAGAGGGUGAUCGGCCACACUGGGACUGAGACACGGCCCAGACUCCUACGGGAGGCAGCAGUAGGGAAUCUUCGGCAAUGGGGGCAACCCUGACCGAGCAACGCCGCGUGAGUGAAGAAGGUUUUCGGAUCGUAAAGCUCUGUUGUAAGUCAAGAACGAGUGUGAGAGUGGAAAGUUCACACUGUGACGGUAGCUUACCAGAAAGGGACGGCUAACUACGUGCCAGCAGCCGCGGUAAUACGUAGGUCCCGAGCGUUGUCCGGAUUUAUUGGGCGUAAAGCGAGCGCAGGCGGUUUGAUAAGUCUGAAGUUAAAGGCUGUGGCUCAACCAUAGUUCGCUUUGGAAACUGUCAAACUUGAGUGCAGAAGGGGAGAGUGGAAUUCCAUGUGUAGCGGUGAAAUGCGUAGAUAUAUGGAGGAACACCGGUGGCGAAAGCGGCUCUCUGGUCUGUAACUGACGCUGAGGCUCGAAAGCGUGGGGAGCGAACAGGAUUAGAUACCCUGGUAGUCCACGCCGUAAACGAUGAGUGCUAGGUGUUGGAUCCUUUCCGGGAUUCAGUGCCGCAGCUAACGCAUUAAGCACUCCGCCUGGGGAGUACGACCGCAAGGUUGAAACUCAAAGGAAUUGACGGGGGCCCGCACAAGCGGUGGAGCAUGUGGUUUAAUUCGAAGCAACGCGAAGAACCUUACCAGGUCUUGACAUCCCGAUGCUAUUUCUAGAGAUAGAAAGUUACUUCGGUACAUCGGUGACAGGUGGUGCAUGGUUGUCGUCAGCUCGUGUCGUGAGAUGUUGGGUUAAGUCCCGCAACGAGCGCAACCCCUAUUGUUAGUUGCCAUCAUUCAGUUGGGCACUCUAGCGAGACUGCCGGUAAUAAACCGGAGGAAGGUGGGGAUGACGUCAAAUCAUCAUGCCCCUUAUGACCUGGGCUACACACGUGCUACAAUGGUUGGUACAACGAGUUGCGAGUCGGUGACGGCAAGCUAAUCUCUUAAAGCCAAUCUCAGUUCGGAUUGUAGGCUGCAACUCGCCUACAUGAAGUCGGAAUCGCUAGUAAUCGCGGAUCAGCACGCCGCGGUGAAUACGUUCCCGGGCCUUGUACACACCGCCCGUCACACCACGAGAGUUUGUAACACCCGAAGUCGAAGAGGUAACCUUUUGGAGCCAGCCGCCUAAGGU
rnacentral:rRNA from 1 species